CUGUAAUGUAUACUAUGGAUUUUGGUCCUUGAUGGCCACAUCCAGUUCAACCAAGAUCCACUUCAUAGAGUCCACUAAAAUGUAUUAAUCUUAAAGAUAUUGGUGAAAUCUACAAAAUACGUAUUGGACAUGACAACAGUGGAAA